GAUGAACGCUGGCGGCGUGCCUAAUACAUGCAAGUCGAGCGAACAGACGAGGAGCUUGCUCCUCUGACGUUAGCGGCGGACGGGUGAGUAACACGUGGAUAACCUACCUAUAAGACUGGGAUAACUUCGGGAAACCGGAGCUAAUACCGGAUAAUAUAUUGAACCGCAUGGUUCAAUAGUGAAAGACGGUUUUGCUGUCACUUAUAGAUGGAUCCGCGCCGCAUUAGCUAGUUGGUAAGGUAACGGCUUACCAAGGCGACGAUGCGUAGCCGACCUGAGAGGGUGAUCGGCCACACUGGAACUGAGACACGGUCCAGACUCCUACGGGAGGCAGCAGUAGGGAAUCUUCCGCAAUGGGCGAAAGCCUGACGGAGCAACGCCGCGUGAGUGAUGAAGGUCUUCGGAUCGUAAAACUCUGUUAUUAGGGAAGAACAAAUGUGUAAGUACUAUGCACGUCUUGACGGUACCUAAUCAGAAAGCCACGGCUAACUACGUG
rnacentral:rRNA from 1 species